rnacentral:rRNA from 1 species
GUAGGGUGCGAGCGUUAAUCGGGAAUUACUGGGGCGUAAAGCGUGCGCAGGCGGUUUUGUAAGACAGGCGUGAAAUCCCCCGAGCUCAACUUGGGGAAUGGCGCUUGUGACUGCAAGGCUAGAGUAUGUCAGAGGGGGGUAGAAUUCCACGUGUAGCAGUGAAAUGCGUAGAGAUGUGGAGGAAUACCGAUGGCGAAGGCAGCCCCCUGGGACGUCACUGACGCUCAUGCACGAAAGCGUGGGGAGCAAACAGGAUUAGAUACCCUGGUAGUCCACGCCCUAAACGAUGUCAACUAGUUGUUGGGGAUUCAUUUCUUCAGUAACGUAGCUAACGCGUGAAGUUGACCGCCUGGGGAGUACGGUCGCAAAGAUUA